CCCCCCCGUGGCCGUAAAGUGCAAAACUAACUUCCGCCAGGGGAGCCGCCACGCUCCUUUUCACGACUCGCGGCCGAAAAGCAACACACAGCCCGGCGGAGGACGAGCAAAAAAGGAAUUACGCAACAGUAUACUCCAUUAGCUUUGCUUCGGAUAUCACAUGAGACGGGUCAUGAUGGUGGCAACUUUUCAUCCCAGGAAAUCAGAGAACUGGCUCUGGACCCAUUGUGAAACUGCCCGUUGGACCAAUUCACUACAAAAAGCUGAACCCCAAACAAUGCAGGGCCUUGCUUUCUAUACAUUUUCAGCUCCUUUGUCUCCACUUCUAUAUUAACGUCCAUUCUCAUUGGGCACUCAUAAGGCUAUAUAGGAAGAUGACUGGGCUGUGCGAGCAUAUACUCCUCCCCUUUCUGGAAGAAACUCUUACCACAGCCUGUACCCACUCUCCAGACUGCCAUGCCUCUGUCUUCUAAGUGCCCCUAAAUCUUAUCUCCAGGGAGGAGUGCUUCAGAUUUGGGGUUCCUGUCUACGUGUC